rnacentral:rRNA from 1 species
GACGAACGCUGGCGGCGUGCUUAACACAUGCAAGUCGAACGAAGUGGCGAACGGGUGAGUAACGCGUAAUCAACCUGCCCUUCAGAGGGGGACAACAGUUGGAAACGACUGCUAAUACCGCAUACUGAAGGAGGGGAUUGCGUCUGAUUAGCUAGUUGGAGGGGUAACGGCCCACCAAGGCGAUGAUCAGUAGAGGGUCUGUGAGAGUGAGCGGGCACAUUGGGACACAGAGACGGCGCAGACUCCUACGGGAGGCAGCAGUGGGGAAACUUCCGCAAUGUACGAGAGAGUGACAGAGCAAAGCGGCGUGAGUGAUGACGGCCUUCGGGUGGUGAAGCGCUGUGAUACGGGAGACGGUACCGGAAUAGAAAGCCACGGCUAACUACGUGCCAGCAGCCGCGGUAAUUC